CCUUCGGACAGGUAACUAUCCUCUGCUUUGGAAGACCAGCGCUGUCAUUCCAAUUUUAAAACCUGGUAAACCUCCCUGGUAUGCUCAAUCUCACAAUCUUAUUCACCAUAACCAGUUUGCAUUUAAGAAGGGGCAGGGGACGUUAGACGCUCUUCUGCAUCUUGACCAAUUUGUCUCUGAUGCAUUAUCCUACAAAAAUCAUGUAUCGAUACUUUCACUUGAUUUUUUAAAAGCUUUUGAUCGGAUUGGUAUACAAGUGGUAUUAAGGCAGCUUAGAAAAUGGAUAGUCGGCUCACAUAUAUAUAACUUUGUUAAUUCUUUUCUCUCUAAACGUAAAAUUAGUGUACUUGUUUCUAAUGUCCGAUCCUUUAUACUACCUCUUUAUAAUGGAACACCCCAAGGCUCCCCCCUUUCAGUCAUACUUUUUAUUCUCGCAUUUGAUGAAAUCAGUACAAUUUUAUCUGUCUUCCCUAAUAUCAGUCACCAAAUCUAUGCUGAUGAUUUAGUAUUAUUUUCUAAUGCCUCCGAUUAGUCCGUUGUUACGUCUUCCUUUUCUAAAAUCUUAUCCCUCUUAAUCUAUUGGUCGGGUUCUUCGGACACGUCAAUUUCUUCCUCUAAAUGUAAGUUAUUACAUAUUUGUAAGAAACAUCAUUGUAAUACACCCACACUUACCGUUAAUAAUAUAAAUUUAAUCUGUACAGAUAGUUUUAAGUUCCUAGGCUUAAUAUUAGACUCUAAGUAUUCAUUUAAGCAACAUUGUCAAUAUGUAAGAAAAAGACUAUUUGUUAAUUUAAACAUAAUCAAGUAUCUUUCAUGUCAGCGCUCACUCAUUGACCCUGCUCUACUGGUAAAGGUCACCAAAGCUCUCAUCUUAUCAAUAAUUAAUUACGGCUUAGAAAUAUAUGGACACCAUUCUAAAAAUCAUAUCAAGUUGCUUGCCGCACCGUGUCAUUCUACUGCCCGUCGUUCUACUCGUACGUUUCCAACAUCUCCGAUAAAAAACAUAUUGCCUGAAUCUGGACUGCCUUUUUUAAAAGACAAUAUGGAAGAGAGCUUAUAUAAACUCUAUCCUAAGCUCCUAAUCAAUCCUAGUUUUAUUCUGAAAAAGGAUUUCCACUCAGCUCUGACACGUAUACGAUCGCCAAAGAUUCAAUCAUCGUUAUACAAAAGCGCCAUGUUUGUGAAAAUAAAUGAGUUACCGCAUAAAAUAGCUUUACCUUGGAGUAUUAAACACUCCCCGUGGCGUGUGAGUUGUUUCUGAUUUAGUUCAACUACGAAAGAACAAUACUUCUAGCAAUGUUUAUAAAGCCCACUUCCUGAAAGUAACAGCUCCUCUCAAAUCAGCUGGUUGGAAACUUCUAUUCACAGACGGAUCAAAAGGUACUCACACCUCCUUCGCUGCAGUUAGUGAAGAUGAAAACCCUAUUUCGUAUGGCCUGCUAUUUUCUUUCUGUUCAAUAUUUACAGCUGAAGCUACCGCAAUUCUUAAAGCUGUUCAAUACUCAAAGCUGAACAAAGGAAAAUAUAUUAUCUGUACUGACAGUUUAUCCUGCUUUCUAGCUUUAAAAAACUGCAAUAACUCCAAUUACAUCAUUUGCGCAAUCAGAGACAUUUUGAUAUCUCUUCCACAUAAACUCAGAAUUAUGUGGGUUCCCAGCCACUCGGGUAUAAUUGGAAACAUGCUUGCGGACUCAAUUGCCAAGGAAAUGUAGCACUCUCCCACUAUAACCUCACCAUUUUUCGUUAAGGGCGAUAUCUACCGGCUCAUCGCUCAACUGAGAAACACCAAUUUAGCUGUUGAUUGGGUAAUUUACAAUCACCAUUACUCAAGAAUUAAGCCAAAUCGCACGAAACCUAACUUUCCGACCUCUCUGCCAGUCAAUCUCAUCACUCCGUACGUCAGACUCCGCAUUGGACACACUAUCAUUACCAAUGCACACCUUCUGGAUGGUAGUCACAUCAGCUAAUGUCCCAUUUGUGAGUCAACGGUUAGUGUGCUACACCUACUCGUUUUUUGUCCUGCUCUGGACAGCCUCAGACUUUAAAACUUUAACAAUGAUGAUCCUGUUCAGCUUUUAAUGAACCCAACUAUUAACAACAUAUCUAAAAUUUACAGUUAUCUGAAGGAUACAGAUCUCCUUCGUUGUAUUUAAACAAGUUUCUAAUUUUUCCCACCAGUCAGCCGAAAGCUUAUGCUGCUAGCGCUGCGUACUUUAGUUGAUAUAAUAAUUUGUUUAUUAUGUAAGCCUUAAUAAAAUAAAAUAAAAAAUAUUUCGAUUUGAAACAAAUUCUUCUAUAUUAUGUGCAAAUAGUUAAAUAUUUUUUAAUUGUAAGUUUUAGUGAGGGAAUUGUACCAAAAUGGAAGUUAAAGAGAAAAUUGUCAGCAGAAUUUUUGUUUUAAAAAAAUUUCGACUCGAAUAUAUUAUUUCGUGUUCGUGCGUUUUAAAGAAAAGUUUAAGAAAUUAAUAGUUAUUAAUAUGUUUCAAAAGAGAAAGUGUCGAUUUCGCGAGUGCAUUUCGGCGUCUAACAAAUUGUUUUCCUUCCCGAAGGAUGAGCAGCAAUUUAAAAAGUGGGUGGAAAACCUAAGGAUCCCACCACCGCAAGAUUUACCCGCCCACAACGUAUUUGUUGCAUGAAACACUUCGCGCCAAGAGCGGUGGGAUUGAAGAAAUUGAAGGAGCAUGUUGUGCCCACCCUCAACCUUGAUGCCAUUGAGACCCAAGUAGCAAAACUGAUAAGUGGUGCUGAUGACCGUCUCACUGCCAUUGAAAAAGCCCUAAAAGACUCAAUGUCAGAAAAGGCCGAGGUGCAAGCGCAAAGUAAACUAUUGCGGCGUCAUAGCGGUAGAUAUGCACCAUUCAAUUAGUCGCACCACCGGUGACUUGGAGGUCGAGCAUUAUUUGGAGCUCGCUUCAAAACUGUCCAUGUCCUCGGAAGAGCUGCGUGGAAGACAAACUUUCACAAAAAGAAAGCAGAGAUGCUAUGGCAAAUAUUUCGCUUUUAAAUAUAAUGCGAUAAUAAUAUAAUUUACUGCCAUUUAUUUCUUCAUAACAGAUGCGGCUAAUAAUGAAGGGAAAGGACUCAAAAGGCGGUGUUGCCAUUAUAAUUAAAAGAGGCGCAAAGGGAAAGAAUCCCUACUUAAGCUAAAGAGCGUUGGGUCAGUUUUUGAUAGAUAUAUGUAUUUCCUGACAAGGACAAAUAUACAAUCCUUAAGCCACAAUCGAUUUAAACAAAAAAAACAUAAACUUAAG